rnacentral:lncRNA from 1 species
UUCACAGACCUCCCUUUUCUCGUAUUUUUAUUCGAUCGUCGAAUGCACGGAUAGAAUCGCAUGUACCCAACGUAAGCGCCAAAAAUCUUUCAAUUAUUCAGAUCAAUAGUUACAACGAACAGGGACUUUCCCGCAUUUUGAUUUAUUUAUACGUCAUACUUAAGUAGAACUUCUAUCACUAUCAAUUAUGCAAAUCGAUUAAAAUCAGAAGGGAAUUCCGCGAAUUUUAGUUUACUCUAUAUUUACACCGUAAAGCCCCGGCCAAACGAUCGCAACAUUUCAACGCAACAUAUCGCAACAUUGUUGGUAGGAAAAUGUUGCUUGCGUUUGGCCACCCUAUUGCGACAUAUUGCGACGUGUUAAGUUUUGUUGGUUCAAAUUUGAAAAUGAUCAAAUUUUUCAUGCAACAUUUGCGGAUGUUGCAUGACGUUGUAACCGUUUGGCCAGGUCGGUGCAACAAUGUUUCGCCCAGGCAUGCGCACUUGUUCGAAUUUCCAUACCCAACACGUCGCAACACGUCGCAACAGGGUGGCCAAACGCGUGCAACAUGUUGCGCCCAACAAUGCUGCGAUAUGCUGCGUUCAAAUGUUGCGAUCGUUUGACCGGUGCUUGCAAAUGCUGGGCCACCAAGUUGGGAUAUGUUGUGUUGAGAUGUUGAGAUCGUUUGGCCGGGGCUUCAGACCACCUUCAAAUGCACGCUCUGAUUGCGUGCAACAGCGGUCGACAUUUCGCGGGUAACAGCGAACUGUUUCCCGCUUGAGGUCAUAGUUUUCGCAAUGUUGCCCGCUCAUGGCAUUUGGUGGUAAACAGUUUUAUUGUUAGAUGUCAUGUGACCAUGAACUAGCCAAUGAAUGGGCGCGUUGUCGCAAAGAAAAAUGCCUUACUAUAUGUACAAACGUACAUGUACCACCGAGAAGACAGGAGCAAAAUAUGACGAAAAGUGAAAUGUUUUUGAUAAACGUAGAGGCACGUAGUAAAGUGGUAAAGGGCAGUUUCAUGGAUAUGUGAUAUUUCCUCUCGAUGGAAAUUGAAACUUAGGGGAAACUACACUGAGGAGCCGAAUGUAUGCAUAUUAAGAUCAGAUUACUAGAAAGCAUGGCAUAUAUGAUUACUUUUGUUGAUGAUAUAGAAAUUCAAAGCACUGCACAAACCUGAAGCAGGCACACAAGAGCAUUACUGAAUAUAACAAAGCGUGCAAACUAAAGAGAGUUGAGGGAAAAGCAUUGCACACACCCGAUGUUUGUGACGCAAAGUACGUCAUACAAAAACAUCCCUGAAUAUAGCAAAGCCGCAAACUUGAAGGGCGUCGAGGGAAAGGCACUGCACAAACCCGGCGUUUGUGAGGCAAAGCACGCAUAAAAUAAUAAACAGUUCUGCAACUACGCAGUAAAAGCGUGAAAAUACUACAAGGGCGUAAGGGAAGGGAAAACCGUGAGUAAACUGGACCUGCUGUAGGCGUUUAGUUCAGUAGAAGGAAUCAGGGACUGUGCAAGCAACAUGGACGAGAACUUGAUCAUUCGGCAUAGGGUUUAUCACAUAAAGAUGAAAAUUGCCGAAAGAAAUGACAGGCUGCAUAAGCACUAUAAUAAAUGGGAAAAAAAUAAUAAUAAUAGAGUACAACACAUGACAUUACGAAGCGGAGGUUCCUUACACGAACUGGGCUGAAAUGAGAUGCAGAGCUCUUAUUUAUUUUCCCUUAGUAAGAGACUGGAGUGAAUAGCGAAAAACUGGCUGCUUUUCUGGAACUACCGCACGAGGUGUCUUUGGAAAGCAUUUUCAUAGUGCUGGGCAGGAAAAUUAUCGGAAGUUUUCACACUAAUCCACGAGAAAUGAGCUUUAAAGGUAGAGUUUUUAAAUUCCUCCGAUUUGAAGAGUGUUUUCGAAAAGCUCCGUUUUCGUGAGGGAUUAGUGUGGACUGUAGGCGUAGCCGGAGAAAUAAAGCAGCGUCAAACAGGGCCUUAAUGAGAAAUACUUCGCGGAAUAUUCAUUUGCACACGAACUACUUGUUCUUGAGUUGACGAAGUGGGGAACCCAAGUCGUCUUCCGUUAUAUUCGCUGUCUAUAAGGACAAUUAAAUCAAGAAUGUUUGUGCUAUGAAAUUUUUUAUAUCCUUUUUGAGUGUGUUAAAAUGUUCUUUUCCUCAGAAUACAAGUGAUUCUCUAUAAUAAAUUAAGCGUUAUGUGGUAGUCAAUAUUUUAAGGAACUUUUUUUUUUCAA